rnacentral:rRNA from 1 species
UAGGGAAUCUUCGGCAAUGGACGAAAGUCUGACCAAGCAACGCCGCGGGGGUGAAGAAGGUUUUCGGAUCGUAAAACUCGUUUGUUAGAGAAGAACAAGAACGUUAGUAACGGAACGUCCCCUAACGUUAUCUAACCAAAAAGCCCCGCCUAACUACUUGCCAGCAGCCGCGGUAAUACGUAGGUGGCAAGCGUUGUCCGGAUUUAUUGGGCGUAAAGCGAGCGCAGGCGGUUUCUUAAGUCUGAUGUGAAAGCCCCCGGCUCAACCGGGGAGGGUCAUUGGAAACUGGGAGACUUGAGUGCAGAAGAGGAGAGUGGAAUUCCAUGUGUAGCGGUGAAAUGCGUAGAUAUAUGGAGGAACACCAGUGGCGAAGGCGGCUCUCUGGUCUGUAACUGACGCUGAGGCUCGAAAGCGUGGGGAGCAAACAGG